rnacentral:lncRNA from 1 species
AUGCUGAAUAAAGUCAUAGUUUUUGCUAUUUUUGGACCAAAAUGUAUUUUCGAUGCUUCAAAAUAUUCUAACGGACCCUCUGAUGUCACAUGGACUACUUUGAUGAUGUUUUUCUUACCUUUCUGGACAUGGACAGUAGACCGUACACACAGCUUCAAUGGAGGGACUGAGAGCUCUCGGACUAAAUCUAAAAUAUCUUAAACUGUGUUCCGAAGAUAAAAGGAGGUCUUACAUGUUUUGAACAGCAUAUGGGUUAUUAAGUUAUUAAUGACAAAAUUUCAUUUUUGGGCGAACUAAAGCAUAAUAAUUAUAUAUUAUAUAAUAUAAUUAUAUAGAUGACUGACUAAUUCAUUUACAACCUAAAUUCAAGAUCGUAACAAAACAGUCAGAUGAGAGUUUAAAUUAAAUGAAAUAACUUUACACUUCAAAAAGACCGAACAUGUGCGACGAAGAUCAUCAACAGUUCAAUGGAGCUGUGUAAAGUCCCUUCAUGCUUCAAACGCUCCAUCAUCAUCCCCAUCCCAAAGAAAUCCAAAAUAACGGAACUAAAUGACUACAGGCCUGUGGCUCUAACGUCAUGAAGUCAUUUGAAAAACUGCUGCUGGCCCACCUGAAGGACAUCACUGGACCUACAGAGCGUUUAUUUUAGUAAAACAAUCUAAAUUAAAUAAGAAUUUUUUAUAUUUGAAUAUUUAAAUACUUUGCAUAUUUAAAAUGUGAUAUUUUAUUCUACUUAACGUUUAUUACAAGUAACAUGCUUUUCUAUUUUUAGUUAAAGUUUUGGUUAACUAUAAUAUAAUAUUUCUGCUUUGACGCUGCAGGUUGAGAUUUUAAAGACUCACCGUUCUCAUCCACGCCGAGGACACUGGCUCCUUUACCCAGCAGCUCCUGUACGACCACCAUCAGUCCCUUACUGAGACACGACACAGAGAGAAGGAAAUAUCACUGAAACUGAGGAUGUUUUUUUAUUUUUUAUCCACGAGCAGGAGGAGGAAUUGAGCUCUCUUUCCAUGCUUGUUUUUGUAGUUUGUCUGGCCACAGGGCUGCACUGAUGUACAGAAGAAGUCAUACUGUCAUGUUUGAUGUAAAUCAGUGUGUGAGUGUGUGUUUGCUACCUUACUGCAGGCCAGAUGCAGAGCUGUGUUUCUGUGAGCGUCCUGUAAUGUCAAAUCAGCUUUAGCACUGCUCACCAGCACCUCUGACAAACACAAUCAACACCUCACAUUAAUAUCAGAUCGGACAUGAUUACAUACACAUAACAAUAACAACACAUCUGCUGUAAUGACACAAAGAUAUGAAGGAAACUCUAGCGCCACCUUGAGCCACAGUAAAGAAGUCCCUACAUUGAAUGACGUCAACCAGUG